rnacentral:rRNA from 1 species
GUGGGAGUAGAGGCGCACAGCUCGAAAUGAAUCUGGCUGGGCCGAGUUGUNAUUUGGAGAAGGUGCUUCGGGUGCGGUCUCGGUCCAAGUUCCUUGGAACAGGAUGUCGCAGAGGGUGAGAAUCCCGUACGCGGCCGAAGGUCAAGCCCAUGUGAAGCCCUUUCGACGAGUCGAGUUGUUUGGGAAUGCAGCUCCAAGUGGGUGGUAAAUUUCAUCUAAAGCUAAAUAUCUGCCGGAGACCGAUAGCGCACAAGUAGAGUGAUCGAAAGAUGAAAAGCACUUUGAAAAGAGAGUCAAAAAGUACGUGAAAUUGUUGAAAGGGAAGCGCUUGCAACCAGACUCGUUUCCGGGUGUUCAACCUCCCUACGGGAUGGUGCAUUCUCCCGCCACGGGCCAGCAUCGGUUGCGGCGGCUGGACAAAGACCCUGAAAAUGUGGCUCCCCGCGGGGAGUGUUAAGUUUGGGGUGCAAUGCGGCCAGCCGCGACCGAGGAACGCGCAUUGCUAGGAUGCUGGCGUAAUGGUUGCCAGCGACCCGUCUUGAAACACGGACCAAGGAGUCGACCAACCGCGCGAGUGUUUGGGUAUCAAACCCGCACGCGUAAUGAAGGUGAACGCAGGUGGGAGCCUUUGGGCGCACCAUCGACCGAUCUUGAUGUUUUCGGAUGGAUUUGAGUACGAGCCCGGCUGGUCGGACCCGAAAAAUGGUGAACUAUGCAUGAAUAGGUACGUUUUUCCGAUCGGAGACGCGUUACUGUCCGUUAUCAUUGAUCAUGAAGCUAACUAGUCAACAGGGUGAAGCCAGAGGAAACUCUGGUGGAGGCUCGCAGCGGUUCUGACGUGCAAAUCGAUCGUCAAAUUUGUGCAUAGGGGCGAAAGACUAAUCGAACCAUUUAGUAGCUGGGUCAGUUGCCGCAAUUCUUCCUCGGCGGAUGCUGUUUGCUAACUCGAAAGCAGUUCCCGUCGAAGUUUCCCUCAGGAUAGCAGCAGCGAAUAUAGUCUCAUGAGGUAGAGCAAACGAUUAGAGGUCUUGGGGUUGUAAUCGACCUUAACCUAUUCUCGAACUUCGAAUGCGUGAGAAGUCCUUGUUACUUGGUGGAACGUGGACAAUUUGGAUGUAUCCGCUGCUAGUGUCGGCCCAUUUUGGGUAGCCGAGAAACUUGGCGACA